GACGAACGCUGGCGGCGUGCCUAAUACAUGCAAGUAGAACGCAGAUGCGAACGGGUGAGUAACGCGUAGGUAACUUCCUGGUAGCGGGGGGUAACUAUUGGAAACGAUUGCUAAUAACGCAUACUACCAGACGGACCGGCGUUGUAUUAGCUGGUUGGUGGGGUAACGGUCUACCAAGGCCCCGAUACAUAGCCGACCUGCGAGGGUGAUCGGCCACAACGGGACUGGGGCACGGCCCAGACUCCUACGGGAGGCAGCAGUAGGGAAUCUUCGGCAAUGGACGGAAGUCUGACCGAGCAAUGCCGCGUGAGUGAAGAAGGUUUUCGGAUCGUAAAGCUCUGUUGUAAGAGAAGCGUUAUCUUACCAGAAAGGGACGGCUAACUACGUGCCAGCCGCCGCGGUAAUUC
rnacentral:rRNA from 1 species